AGAUCAGCUACUUCUCCAGCACCAUGUCUGCCUGCACGCCACCAUGCUGCACGCCAUGAUGACAAUGGACUAAACCUCUGAAACUCCUAACCUGCCAUGGUCUCGUAAGAGCUGAAUGCUGUUCUGGAUCGUGAGGAGUCCUCAGCCAUCUCCUCACCUAAGGGGCGACCCUGAGACCCGCCUUGAAGUUUGCAGCUCAGGGAAGACAGACUCUCUGAAAAAAUCAACAUGGAAUCAGAUCACUGAAUGAACUUCCUCUCCCUAAUGUGACAGCAUGCUACCAGAGGCAUCCCAGCACACAUAAUGUUCCUUCUACCCAGAACAGCUUGAUGCUCGCUCUGCAACAACAACAACAACAACAACAACAACAACAACAACAGCAGCAGCAAAGUGGGAUGAAAGGAGAAAGCAACUGUCUGAAGCAUCAAAACCAGAGUCAGAUAUGGCAGGAAAGUUUAGCUAUCGUGUGUGUGUGUGUGUGUGUGUGUGUGUGUGUGUGUGUGUGUGUGUUUGUGUGUGUUUGCCCACGCAAACAUGGAGGUCAGAGAACAGCCUGAGGGAGCUGGUUCUCUCCUACCCUGUGGUUGUCGGUAUUUAAUUCAGGGCCUCAGGCCUGGCAGCAAACCACUUUAGUAUUCUCUUAGCCAUUUCACAGGCCCCAAACAAGGAAAACCGAUCACUGCGCUGGAGAAGAGAUGGGAUGGGAUCAGGAUCAAGCAAAUGACCAAACGAUGCAAAACUCUGUGAUGGGUGAAAAGUACUGUUCCUGGGCUGGGCUGACUGGAGUGCCAAGGAGAGAAUCUCGGGGGCUUCAACACACGACACCAGGGACUUCCUAAAUGAAAUGGUGGGGAAUAAAGACUGGAAUAAACCCAGGAGGAUAUCUGACUUCUGGAGGACUAUCACAGAAGAUACAAGCAUAGGUGAUCUCAGGAGAGAAAACGGAAGAACACGUGAUAUAGCAUUGACUGAGAAUUUCCCCCAAACAGAUGGAGGAUGCCAAAGCACAGAUUCACAAAGCUGAGAGAAUACCAAACAAGACAGAGGAAAAUGACACAUGAGCAUUGCUUCUAAACUCCUAAUAAAAUUCUAGACAAAUAAAAACAAUGCCGGUGUCUCCAUGAUGAUAGUGACACAUCAUUUGGGACAAAUCAAACACGCACCGGCAUGUGGAAAGCAAGGAAAUGUCCCUAAAAAUCUUUUGUACUGUGGAGUCUGUGAGAAGCAAGGAAGGUUGGCCUGUGAUAAUAUGUAGAGAAUAUAUGUAACUUGGUAUGUGUUGGGCCACACCCAGCCACUAGGCUGCUUGCUGUACGGCAUGUACUUCUAGGAGCCCUCAGAUGAGGGGUGAGACAGGAGUGACCCAAAUUUCUUCUUAAUUAAAGCCGAAGAAAUCAAAACAAGAAUUGCGGUGUGAUGGCAAGACAUUAAAUAAAAAGAAGAUUUAUCAUUUCCAGAAAUAGCUGCACUUGUAGCCAAUCCCACCCGGGGUGGGGGUGGGGGUGAGGGGCAGGGAGAAAGCUGUGAGUUGUGUCCACACUACAGACUACACUUCUGGUGAAUAUGAGCCCUGUGGGCAUCCGCUGUGUGGAAGGCGGGUGCUUACCUUCCCCAGAUCCUGUGCUCUUCCCCAUCAGUCUACGUUUGUCACCCAGGAAACACCUAUCACCAUGUUCCUGUCUUUUGAAGCAAACAGAUGAAAACCUAGACCUCUCCACCUUCUUGGAGCCUCUACAAACAAUGCUACUUUCUCUUGUUCUAUUUCUGCUCCUGUCUACACACUGCUGUGGGGACAGCUUUAGACUGCAGCUCUCAGCACAUUGAUCUUCCUCCAAGAGCAGCUUCCUCCUGCCCCGGACCUCCAUCUAUGGGCCCCAUCACACAGAGAAGAAAUGAGGGGGCUGUUCCAUCACUCGGAUUGUGAGGAAGUCUAGUAAACCAAAGGAGGAGAGAACAGUUGAAGAAGAUGAGCAAGGUAGCAGUCGGUAAUCCUGGGACAGCACCAGAUGCUCAGAAAUGCACUCCUCUCCCCGGCUGCCCGCGCCAACAGGUGGGAUGCCUGGCAGCCCGGAAACCAAGCCCAAGUCCACAGCACACUGGAGGUACAAGGCCACAAUGAACUGACAGAACCUGGACCAGGGGUAAAAGCACUAUAUAUAGCCUGGGGUAUUCCAGCCAGCUCCCUGCUUUUGUAGAGUUUUAUCAUUUCUCAGCUCUGCCUAUUCCGUUGUAUCUUGUCUGUCUGUCUUCCUUUCUUUCUUUUUUCUUUGAGAUAGGGUUUCUCUGUAUGAUCAAUCCUGGCUGUCCUGGAACUCACUUUUUGUAGACCAGGCUGGCUUUAAUCCUGAGGGCUGGGAUUAAAGGUAUGCACAGCCACUUUGUUGGAGGCGAUUCUUUUGUGACAAGGCCACAGCAGAAUGGCUAUGACAAAGACUGCAGAGUUUCAGAAAGCCUAAAAUGUUGACACACUGGUCCUUCCAGAAGGCUGCUCACACCUUCUAGUUUGGGCCCUCCAGCUGUAAUCAUACGUAAAUUAACCUGAAGAGGAUAAAAGACUGUCUAUCUGGCUCAGACCACUGCAACCAAAGAAACCUGUUGCUUAGCAGAUGUUUACUAUAGUUUAAAGUAAAGAACAGAGGUGCCGCUAAAAUGGUACCAAGACUCUCUGAUGGGAGAGCCUGCAGCAUACAGUAGAGGCAGGGUCCCCAUGUGCUGGACCACUGUCCCAAGGCUCUGCCUUUUCUGAGAGGACAACCCAUGAGGUGUUAGAUGUGGGUGUCGUUUGGCUAACUACCUGGGAGCUCUUCGUGAAAACCAGGCUGGACAGCCAGCCAGACCGAAUCAUUAUGAGAAUCCAGAAACACGAGGCUGUCCAGAUAGAUUAGACCUAAUGCAGAAAAAGCACUCAAGGUCUUUCCACACCAUACAUUUACAUUAAAAAUGCUGUAGCGGAGAAAACACUUGGAAUGCAGCUCACACUGAAGGCUCCCACACACAGCUCAGCCCAAAACAGCUGGC